AGUUUUAUUGCAGAAAUUGGGCUAAACCUUAUAUUAAAGAUGCUAAAGAAGUUUCCAGGUAUAUUGAGAUGAUUUCUUUGGAGCAAUUCUUGACAACAUUUGUAGUUGAUGCCUUUAGAAUGGAAGAAUGUAUUUCACUAAUUUUUGUAUACAUUUCUUGUUUUGUAUUUAGUGAUAAAGGAAUCUGAAUUGGGCAUAAAUUAUGUUGUAAUAUGAUUUCUUAAGCCUAGAAUAGUAGACUAAAUAUUGUAAUUACAUUUGAGUAAUUAAUAAAAAUCUAUUUAUGUUACCUUAUUUGGCUUCAA